rnacentral:rRNA from 1 species
UUCUUAAUGAGAGUUUGAUCCUAGCUCAGGGUGAAUGCUGGCGGCGUGGAUAAGUCAUGCAAGUCAAGGGGGCCCGCAAGGGCAACCGGCAAACGAGGUAGUAACACGUAGGUAGAUCCCCCGAAGUCGGGCAUAGCCAUCCGAAAGGAUGGGUAAUUCCCGAUAGUCCCGCAAGGGUAAAGGUUUUUCGCUUCGGGAGCGGCCUGCGUAGUAUCAGCUAGUUGGUAGGGUAAUGGCCUACCAAGGCUACGACGCUUAGGGGAGCUGAGAGGCUGACCCCCACCGAUGGAACUGCGACACGGUCCAUACUCCUACGGGAGGCUGCAGACGAGAAUAUUCCGCAAUGGACGAAAGUCUGACGGAGCGACGCCGCGUGAUGGAUGAAGUGCCUUGGUACGUAAACAUCUUUUAUCGGGGACGAAGUUUAUUGACGGUACCCGAUGAAUAAGGAGCUCCUAACUCUGUGCCAGCAGGAGCGGUAAUACAGAGGCUCCAAGCAUUACCCGGAAUCACUGGGCGUAAAGGGUGUCUAGGCGGCCAUAUUAGUCUCUCGUUAAAUGUCCGGGCUUAACCUGGUCACUGCGGGGGAAACGGUAUGGCUCGAGGGCGCGAGAGGUGCACGGAACUCAUGGUGGAGGGGUGAAAUCCGUUGAUAUCAUGGGGAACACCAAAGGCGAAGGCAGUGCACUGGUACGUUCCUGACGCUCAAACACGAAAGCCAGGGUAGCGAACGGGAUUAGAUACCCCGGUAGUCCUGGCCCUCAACGUUGCUCGCUCG